rnacentral:rRNA from 1 species
AUACGGAGGGUGCAAGCGUUGUUCGGAAUCACUGGGCGUACAGGGCGCGCAGGCGGUUUUACAAGUUAGAUGUGAAAGCCCACGGCUCAACCGUGGAAGUGCAUUUGAAACUGUAAGACUUGAGUAUCAGAGGGGAAGGUGGAAUUCCCGGUGUAGAGGUGAAAUUCGUAGAUAUCGGGAGGAAUACCGGUGGCGAAGGCGACUUUCUGGCUGAAUACUGACGCUGAGGCGCGAAAGCGUGGGGAGCAAACAGGAUUAGAUACCCUAGUAGUCC